UAGGGAAUCUUCCGCAAUGGGCGAAAGCCUGACGGAGCAACGCCGCGUGAGUGAUGAAGGUCUUCGGAUCGUAAAACUCUGUUAUUAGGGAAGAACAUAUGUGUAAGUAACUGUGCACAUCUUGACGGUACCUAAUCAGAAAGCCACGGCUAACUACGUGCCAGCAGCCGCGGUAAUACGUAGGUGGCAAGCGUUAUCCGGAAUUAUUGGGCGUAAAGCGCGCGUAGGCGGUUUUUUAAGUCUGAUGUGAAAGCCCACGGCUCAACCGUGGAGGGUCAUUGGAUACUGGAAAACUUGAGUGCAGAAGAGGAAAGUGGAAUUCCAUGUGUAGCGGUGAAAUGCGCAGAGAUAUGGAGGAACACCAGUGGCGAAGGCGACUUUCUGGUCUGUAACUGACGCUGAUGUGCGAAAGCGUGGGGAUCAAACAGGAUUAGAUACCCUGGUAGUCCACGCCGUAAACGAUGAGUGCUAAGUGUUAGGGGGUUUCCGCCCCUUAGUGCUGCAGCUAACGCAUUAAGCACUCCGCUUGGGGAGUACGACCGCAGGGUUG
rnacentral:rRNA from 1 species